UUCACUAUUAACCGCACUUUAAAACGUCACAGUUAAUUAAUCGUAAAGGCUCCGUUACACUCAGUGUUUCUGUUGCAGGGAAAGAAACUGUUGCAACUUGCACAAAAAGUUACACGAGCGGUGCACCAGCUUAAAGUGUUGUGUUUAUCAGAGAUAUGGAGGCUACUACUGUACACUGGCUAAACUAUAGCAGAGAGACCAAACUGUGAGUGAGGCUUUAUUUUCACCAAACAAACAGCAGAAGUCGGCAGUGUGGGAGAAUUUUGGGUACACCAAGACUGACCAGGGCGUCACGGAAGAUGACGGAUCAUCUGUUCAAAAACUUGCCAUUAAAAGGUUGAUGCUAAAGGAGCGAAUACCUACAUCAAACUUGAUGCUGCAACUGCGGGAUCACCACCCAGCUUUGCACGCCCGAUUAAAGCCACCACAUCGUUGAGGCUUCGCUGCUCCCUCUCUGCCUGCUCCUUCAUCCUCUGGUAGUUCUUCCUCAGCCAGCUCAGACCUCCAUCAUUCACUACGGGGCCUGCAAGAAUGGAGAGAAACGGAUAUUUCCCAUUUCCACAGCCCACAUCAGCCAGCACGCCGCCAGGGGGGAGCGAGGACAGGAAGUGGCAAACGCGAGGCCACGGGGAGUGGCGAGUGCUGCUGAAGUGGGAGGCAAUGGCGUCGUACACCCGGUGCACGUACUCCUCCUCCAGACGGGCUGCAUCGUCAUGACAACGGGGUAGUGAGGGAGGAGACGGCGGGGAGUCCGAGGGUGCUGAGGGAGCUCCUUGACUGUCACAGACAGAGGGGAAGGCUGGAGCGGGAGAGGACAUAAUUACUCGCAAAUUGCAGAUACAUUUGUGAGUCCCACAGGGCCCUUUGCAUGCUCAUGCAUUUGUUUUGAUUAGAGAAUUAUGUCAAAAGUAAAGGAAGAAGAAAUGAUUUUAUGUGGCAGAUUUGAUAAAAUGGGCCCCUGGUUUGCAUCUAUGGAAACAAGAGAUGGAAGGGUUUGAAUUUUAACAGCCACUAAAUAUUUCAUACAGAAAUUUAAACACCACUGAAUUUAUAGGAUUGAAAUAUUUUACAUUGUAAACCUUGUAUCUGUAUUUAUUUGACGUAUUAUAUGUUUCAAAAGCUCAGUUUUAAUGUUUUUCAUUUUUCACAAAUUCAGAUCCAAAAUUUCAAGUCUCAUAAUUUCAAAAAAACAUAUUUCAGGUUGAUCAAAUUUGAUUGGUCAUAUUCAGAUCUUAAAAACUGAUUUGAAAGUCAAAUAGAACAGUAGUCAAAUUCAAAUUCAGAUCCAUGUUGCCGUUUUUAACUUGAAUUUUUGGAUCUGAAUUUAUUUUGAAAUAGCAAAUCAAGAUAUUUCAGAUUUUUCAUUUCAAAAGAGGUGAAUUCUGAACAAAAGAUUUUAUCAUAAUUGUUUUGAAUAUUCUAUUUGUUAAGUGAUCUACUGUUUAGCAUCAAGUGUUUGUCACGUUAUGACCAUAAAGAAAGUAAAAUAUUCCAAUGCUAUGAAUUCAGUGGUUUUUAAAUGUAAAUAUUUAGUAUUAAGUGGCUGUUAAUAUUCAAAAACUGAUUUUGCUUAUUACUUAUGUACUGCUUUCAUAUGUAUCACUACACAUUCCAUCACACUAUAUCUACGUAUGUGUGUUUGUGUGUAACGGCCAAUGAAAGGAGUCGAUGCAAAGCAAACCUAUAGAUGUACACACUCACAAAGUUAGCAUAUGCUCCUUCGUAUAUUAUGCAGAUUAUGUCACAAACAAUGCAAUAUGUCACAGGUUUGAUCCCCAGUGGAAGCACUGCUCCUAAAAUACUCUCACUCAAGCUGCUGUGAUGUGCUUUUGGUAAAUGUGUCCAUCAGACUGUAUAUUAUGUGUUUUACAGUUUGUGAUACAAAGGAUAAAUUUUCCUUAAAAAUGUCAUUGUCUAACAUCACUUGAAUAGUGGUGAGAGAUAUUCACCACAGCGGCAGGGUUCAUGUCUGAUCUUGCGGAAAGUGAAAGAAGUGCGUGUGCCCCUCUUGCUCAAAGUCAGAUUGCUGUGCGUCCCGUGGUCAGGCGUUGUAUGAGCAGGGGAUUGUGGGUCGCAGGCUGGCACAAUGUCAAACUUCCGAGGAGUAAUCCUGAGAGGAGAUAAGAGACAAUAGUGUCUGACUAUCACACACAAACUGACAGUAACUAAUCUGUACAGUUGUUGUACUUUUGUGAACACCAGAAGAAGUGGAUGUGAACAAACCAGUCAGUAGGUUUAAUCUCCGUGUGUGAAGUCUGUCUGUGGACUUUUUUUCUGCAUUUCAAAAGUCCACAGGCAGACUCCAUUGUGCAAAACGCAGAGAAAGGUCAGCCAAUUCUGUAUUUCUGUGCUCAACUACAGUGACAUACAGUCACCCCUCUGUGAAUUGACCUAAAGCUCAUGCCAACAUAAACGGACUCCUAGUGAGGGAGACGGAUCCAUCUGACACAGUCCAGCUCACCCAUGUGUCCAGAGGUAUCGGCUCUCUGCCUUCAUCACCAGGAGGCUCCUUCCAGGCAACACCACGGCAGCAAGACGACCAUCAGGGUGACGGAACUCCAUCACCGUCUGUAAUAACACAUGCAAAAGCUUUGAAAAUAGGACACAACUAUCAAUUCCUCUAUUAAACAUUUGUUUGUGUGUUACCUCCCAACACUCUGUUACCACAACUCAUGGUAUCUGCCGAUAGGGAGUACCGAUCCAAUACCACGGCCCUCUUUCUCUCGUAUUCCAAAUCUGUAUAUACCUCCCCACAUUUAACUCAUUGGAAUCGUAUGUAAAAACUAAGUUGGUGGCCCACUUUGACUAAAUUAUUGUAAAAAAAAAUCGUUCAUACUAAAUGUAAUAACUUCUGUCUCUACACUGGAAUCAUCUCUGUUUCUGUCUGUGCUGCGUAUGUAUAUUUUAAUUAUGUGUUUUUUAAUCAGCCUGUGAAACCAAAGACAAAUUUCCUCAUUUGUGGACAAUAACCAUAUCUAUCUAAUGACGUUGACAAAGAAACGGAUUAAAAAAGUCCGUGUUGUUGCCAAUACCAGUCCGGUGUAUCGGAUCGAUUAUAAUUAUUCUGUAGUUGCUACAGAUAUGUAACUGCUACUGAUAAUCAGUGUCAAACCUCAACAUUCUUAGUACCGAUCAAAUUAAGUCCAUUUCUUCAAGUAUCAAAAACUGAAUACUUCAUUGAAUUCUCAGUCAAGCGUACUUAAUUCAGUUUUAAUCAUUUUCUUGUGUAUUCCAUUUACCCAUGAUGUUGCACAGCUGUUUGGGUUAUGAUUUUCCCUUAAAAACAGUUUUUUUUCUUUUGACACUGAUACUAAAACUCUUACUACCACUAAAAAUUGUUGAUGCAGAUUUACAGUACUGUGCUUGUAGUUAUUGAACAAAUAUGGGUUUAACUGCCUCUCUGUCUCUACAGCAGCACAUGUGAUCUUCUAAAAAACUAACAACUAUUAUUUCAGCACUACAGACAUCACUAAUGAACUGAAUAUGAAAAGACACCUACCAAACAUGAGACUUUUCUUUCCUUUUACUCAACAGUUUUUAGUGACGUCAUCCAGAGGAAGAAAAAACAACAAUAACACACACACACACACACGGUUUUCUCUCUCACCAACAACCGGCAGAAAGUAUCUCCACCCCAGCGCUGGUGUUUGAUCCUAAUGUUUCCUUACAGCGCGUAACAGCAUGAGCUCUGCUGGGAAAUUACAUCUACACAAUUUCAAACUGCAUCUCUCCAACUUCUGACAGCAGGAAAAUUGGAUUUUGUGAAGCUGAUGCGUGUGUGUGUGUGUGUGAGAAAGACAGAUAAGUGCUUGUGUAUAAUUGUGAGAGCCAUGUACAUGCAACACCACCAAAUAAUCAAAACUUUGCCUGAAACCACAACUGAAAUCUCUCUCUCUCUCUCUCACACACACACACACACGACAGGCCGGACUGUGUGUUCCCAUGUGAGGAGUAUUAGCCAAUCAAUGAAACCAGUGGAAUGUGACUAAAUCGAUGGUGAUGCUGACAGCUAUGCUUUACUACUAUUCGUCAAUCCUCUCUCUCUCUCUCUCACACACACACACACACACACACACACAGAACAGGUAGUUGUUUUUUGCAUUUCAUAAUUAACUUUUUUUUGUUAAAAUAAUGGUGAUUCCUCUCUUUAAAAAGGCGUUCCUCUUUUGUAUCGUAUAUCCAACAACUAAAUUUUUCAAAUAGUCUUUGAAAUAUUUUAUUUAUAUUCUUUAUAAUCAUUACAUCACCAUAUUCAGAGAAUCAUGUUUUAGGGGAUGAAAUAUUUAAUUGCACUCCACUGAACGAUAUGUAAAUGAUAUCUCUGAAUUUUAUGCUGUAUAUAAUUUAAGGUAUGGAUAGAGGGUCACAUGUUGAGUAUUACCUGAUGAAGACGUAAUGUUGAAACUUAAUAUUACCGCUCAAUAAAUCUUUCUUUGGGAGCGUCUAA